ensembl:miRNA
UAUUAGGUUGGUGCAAAAGCAACUGAGGUUUUUGCCACUGAAAGUAAUGGCAAAAACUGCAAUUACUUUUACACCAACCUAAUAUUU